rfam:Asian citrus Psyllid, Diaphorina citri - Florida Strain, whole genome shotgun sequence.
GCCUAGUUAGCUUAGUUGGUAGUGCGUCUGCCUUGUAAGCGCUAGGCCGCGGGUUCGAAUCCCGCCCGGGGCG